CAAGCGUCUGUAAGGGCAUUUGGUGGAUGCCUUGGCACCGAGAGGCGAUGAAGGACGUGGCACUCUGCGAUAAGCUGCGGGGAGGGGAGAGCACCCUUUGAUCCGCAGAUUUCCGAAUGGGGAAACCCGGCCCUAUAGGGUCAUCCGGCGGCUGAAUAGAUAGGCCGUCGGGAGCGAACCCGGGGAACUGAAACAUCUCAGUACCCGGAGGAAAGGACAUCAACAGAGACUCCGUUAGUAGUGGCGAGCGAACGCGGAUGAGGCCAGUGACCGGAAGAAGGUAAGCAGAAGUGUCUGGAAAGGCACGCCGCAGUGGGUGAUAGCCCCGUAUGCGUAAAGCUCUUCCGGUCCCAGAGUAGGGCGGGACACGUGAAAUCCUGUCUGAAGAUGGGGGGACCACCCUCCAAGCCUAAGUACUCCUCGGUGACCGAUAGUGAACCAGUACCGUGAGGGAAAGGUGAAAAGCACCCCGAUGAGGGGAGUGAAAGAGACCCUGAAACCGAAUGCCUACAAACAGUCGGAGCGCGCUUUUGCGCGUGACGGCGUACCUUUUGUAUAAUGGGUCAGCGAGUUAGUCUUACGAGCAAGCUUAAGCCGCUAGGUGUAGGCGCAGCGAAAGCGAGUCUGAAGAGGGCGUCCUAGUUCGUGGGAUUAGACCCGAAACCCGGUGAUCUAGGUAUGGACAGGCUGAAGGUGGGGUAACACCCACUGGAGGGCCGAACCCACGUCUGUUGAAAAAGGCGGGGAUGAUCUGUGCCUAGGGGUGAAAGGCCAAUCAAACCGGGAGAUAUCUGGUUCUCCGCGAAAGCUAUUUAGGUAGCGCGUCGGAUUUAUGCCUUCGGGGGUAGAGCACUGGAUGGGCUAGGGGGGAGCGAUCCUUACCAAACCUAACCAAACUCCGAAUACCGAAGAGUAGUGUCCGGCAGACAGGCAGUGGGUGCUAAGGUCCAUUGCCGAGAGGGAAACAGCCCAGAUCGCCAGCUAAGGUCCCCAAGUUACGGCUAAGUGGGAAAGGAUGUGGGAAGGCCAAGACAGCCAGGAAGUUGGCUUAGAAGCAGCCAUCUUUUAAAGAAAGCGUAAUAGCUCACUGGUCUAGAUAAGCCGUCCUGCGCCGAAAAUGUACCGGGGCUCAAGCCGUACACCGAAGCUGCGGGUUCGCUUUCGAGCGAACGGUAGCGGAGCGUUGCCUAGGCCUGCGAAGCGGGACCCCGUGAGGGCCCGUGGAGGUAUGGCAAGUGAGAAUGCUGACAUGAGUAGCGAUAAAGAGGGUGAGAACCCCUCUCGCCGAAAGUCCAAGGGUUCCUGCGCAAGGCCAAUCCGCGCAGGGUGAGCCGGCCCCUAAGGCGAGGCCGAAAGGCGUAGUCGAUGGGAAUGGGGUUAAUAGUCCCCAGCCAGCGGGUGGUGACGGAGGUGAAGUGUUGUCGGUCCUUAUCGGAUUGGGCCGGCGGCUGGAGCCUUCCAGGAAAUAGCCCCCGCCUUUGACCGUACCCGAAACCGACACAGGUGGACUGGUAGAGGAUACCCAGGCGCUUGAGAGAACUCUGCUGAAGGAACUCGGCAAAUUGCCCUCGUAACUUCGGGAGAAGAGGGCCCGGUCCUGGGGCAACCCAAGGCCGGGGGCACAGACCAGGGGGUGGCGACUGUUUACUAAAAACACAGGGCUCUGCGAAACCGCGUGAAGGUGACGUAUAGGGUCUGACGCCUGCCCGGUGCCGGAAGGUUAAGAGGAGAGGUUAGCGCUUCGAAUCGAAGCCCCGGUAAACGGCGGCCGUAACUAUAACGGUCCUAAGGUAGCGAAAUUCCUUGUCGGGUAAGUUCCGACCUGCACGAAUGGCGUAACGACUUCCCCACUGUCUCCAGCAGAGACUCAGCGAAAUUGAACUCCCCGUGAAGAUGCGGGGUACCCGCGGUCAGACGGAAAGACCCCGUGCACCUUUACUAUAGCUUUGCAGUGGCAUUAGAACGUCUAUGUGUAGGAUAGGCGGGAGGCUUUGAACCGGUGGCGCUAGUUGCCGGGGAGCCAUCCUUGAAAUACCGCCCUUAAACGCGCUGAUGUCUAACCGCGUGCCGUCAUCCGGUACCGGGACCCUGCAUGGUGGGUAGUUUGACUGGGGCGGUCGCCUCCCAAAGAGUAACGGAGGCGCGCGACGGUGGGCUCAAGCUGGUCGGACAUCAGCUGCUGAGUGCAAUGGCAUAAGCCCGCCUGACUGUGAGGCCGACAGGCCGAACAGAGACGAAAGUCGGCCAUAGUGAUCCGGUGGUCCCGUGUGGAAGGGCCAUCGCUCAACGGACAAAAGGUACGCCGGGGAUAACAGGCUGAUCUCCCCCAAGAGUUCACAUCGACGGGGAGGUUUGGCACCUCGAUGUCGGCUCAUCGCAUCCUGGGGCUGGAGCAGGUCCCAAGGGUAUGGCUGUUCGCCAUUUAAAGCGGUACGUGAGCUGGGUUUAGAACGUCGUGAGACAGUUCGGUCCCUAUCUGCCGUGGGUGUUCGAGACUUGAGAGGAACUGUCCCUAGUACGAGAGGACCGGGAUGGACGUACCUCUGGUGGACCUGUUGUCGCGCCAGCGGCACAGCAGGGUAGCUAUGUACGGAAAGGAUAACCGCUGAAAGCAUCUAAGCGGGAAACCAGCCUCAAAACUAGGUCUCGCCUAAGAGCCGUGAUAGACCAUCACGUCGAUAGGCCGGAGGUGUAAGCGCAGCAAUGCGUUCAGCUGACCGGUACUAAUCGCUCGAUCGGCUUG
rnacentral:rRNA from 1 species